UCUGUCUCUACACCCCCCCCCCUCCUCCUCCCCUCCCUUUUCUCCCCUUCCCUCUUGGCAGCAGUGCCAAAGUGGGCAGGCAGACCGAGGCAAACACAGCACAGGGCAGAGCAGAGGGCGAUCCAAAGGCUGGCGAAUUGAUUAUGUUGCUGUGUGAGAGCAGACGUCCCUCUGUCACCCUGUGUACGGAUAGACGCACUCACGCCAGUAGGAGGGGAUUGUGGGAAGGGGGUGUAGCUCUCAGAGGGUGUGCUCUACUCUUCUCUUUUCCCUUCUUCCCGCCAUCACGGCCCUCUUCUCUUCUAGUCCUCCGGCCCAGCCCGCCGCUCACGUACAGGCUCCAGGUAUUUUUAUUUUUUAUCCUGCGACACCUCUUCCCAUCUUUUUCACCGCCCUAUAAUCUUUCUCCUCCAGUUCCUCUCCCUUAUUCUCUGUCCUUCAUCGUGGUGUUCCUCCUGUAAAUGUGUCUAUCGUCGUCGGUUGCCACGCUGCACUCCGCUCGCCACCAUUUUGGCUCAAUGGACAUAACAAGAGGAACUUUUCUAGAGCUCAAGGGGACUCCUCGACUCCCUGCUGACCAUCUUCUUUCUCCUGCUUCCAUCAUCUCUUUUUUCUCUGUCCCUGUCCCCCACUUCCUCUCCCCUCUCCGCUCUAGGACAGCAGGCUCUGACAGGGUGGUAAACAGUCUUUCUGUGGCUUUCCGUACUGAACAGGUGACUCUUUGUAGACUGGCAGGAGGAAGGACAGGCCUCGUCGGUUAGUUUCUGACCUCAGAGGGUCGACCGAGCCAGAGAGCUGUUGUUGGGUUCAGGUCAGUACAAGUUUAGCUACACCCACAGGACGUGAGACACUUGGCAGGUCUCUUAUCAUCCAGAGCCGUUAUGAUAGCUGGUACGGGGGCAAUAUUGACUUUGUUUCCCUUCUCACACUGUUUGCACUUUCUGCCACUGUUGAAACUCAAGGUAUGUGGCGGUUGUUUCACAGGAACAUGCCUGUUUGUGUGUGAGUUUGAUCUUUCUGCGAUCUAGAGGUGUGACAGUUUGUUAAAAGGUGGCAACUGGCUCGACACGCUGCGUCAUGGGUUAUUGUAUAUGAAACUUUGCACUUCAGAGGAAACCGAGGCAGAAAUGAAACCCAGUUAGGUCAAACAAACACUCAACGCUGUAAAGAAAUGUUUAACGUUGGUGUUUUUUCAGUAGUUCUUUCUCGUGGUAUCAGUAAUGCUGCUGAUUGUGUUGAACAGUAGCAGUUUGUCUGAUUGAUGUGUGUCUUACUCAGAAUAUUAUUCAUUUUACACUGUGUAUUUUGAUUACAUUCUCAUGUCAGAGGCCAGAAAGCCCUGAAACCAAAACAUAAUAUCAAUGUUGCAUUCUUUGAAUGAGAUAAAACAGGAUACGCAAAUGAAUCAACAACCGAUUUAAUAUCAACCUUUAGGUCAAAUGAAAUGAAAUGAUCUGGAAUAUCUGCAUAUUGUAUUUACAAUCAGGACUCUAACUGGACUGCUUAUUGUUAGUACUGUAUCUUGAUUUAAAUACGGGUUGGUGUUAAGAUGGCGCCUUCGUGCCACGUGUUUAUGAAACAGUGAAUAUGGGCAGACCCUUUCAACAUGCCCCUCACAAUUCAUGGGUAUACUACUCCUAAUUCCCCUGCAUCAGCCUCUUGGCAUUUAAAAUAGAUCAGCUUUGGCAUUACGCAGCAAAUAAAUUUACAAAAAAAGAACUAAAAGAACCUCUCUUCAUGUAUAUCGACAUGUGACAGUGACGAGAGGAAAAUGUUAAGAAAGAAGAAGCUGCAGAGAAAGAGAGAGAACAAGGGUUACAGAGACAGAAAGAGAGGUAGGAGUGGGAGAGCGCUUUCCCCGCCCCUCUCUUAUCCUCAGAUGAACUUAUCGUGUUGCCUCAUAAUGUUACUGAGUUUUUCUCCUAGAGGCAGUCAGGCUUACUUCCUGCAUUCAGCCUCAACAUAGCUGAUUGGUUGAUAUCUCAGCUGACCAGCCACAGUUCGCAGUGAGGCAACAGGAAGUUUCUCUUGUCAUGCAGGAAGCUGCAGCUGUUUCAUCCUGACAUACACCGCUUUGCACUCUUGCACGCAUACUCUUUGUAUACAUGCACACCAACAUGCAUGUACACCCUUGCAUGUGCGUAAGCUCGUGCUCUGUGUGGCAUUAGUGAAUGCUGUAACAUGUGGGCGUGCAGCAACAUGCCAGGCCAGGCAUCAGAGCUAUCAGAAACAUUUGAAACCAUGGUAACUCAUCAGCACAUUGGCAAAAGCAUAGACAAGUGGAAAAGAGGAGAGGGCAUAGAGAGAGUACACGAAGAGGAGGAAAGAAACCUUUGAUCGACAUUCUCUUCUUUCAGAGGUUUUAGAAACACAUCUGGCCAUGUGGGUAAUUGGAGGAUAUACUUUAGCUAAUACACCAGUGACUCAGAAAUUCCUCUUUUUUUUCUUUUAUCAGCUAAUAACUAAUUCUCUCCACAAAAGCAAUUUAUAUACUGUACAUGUUAAAAUGCAUUUCUAAUGUUGCGACAUACUAACCUGAGAAGUAUAAGAGAGUGUAACCCUGCCACCUUUUGUUCACACUAAAUAUUCAACUUGUGUGUGUGUGUGUGUGUGUGUGUCUAUGGUAGAAAGGAUUGUUGGACACAGUGAUAGUCAACACAAUGGCUGCCUUAUAGUCCUGCUUUAUCUGGGUCAUACUAUCUUUUCAUCAAACACGUUGCCUGACAUGUUUACCUAGCUCUGAUGCCUGUGAGCCGAACAUUUGUGUGUGCAGCCCUCGAUCCUGCAAAACAGACGAGUUGAUGCCAAAGAACUGGAAGCAUUUUCAUUUAAUGAACAUUAAGCAACAUGAGAAUCAGAUAGGAUGAACCUCUUUCAUGCAAACAGGUCACUUGUGUCUACCACAAGUGUAAGUACAUGCAUAUGGCAGCGUGUAUCAGUAUACAUGCAUACGCGUGAGCUUGAGCCUUGUGUGUUUGCGCUUGGUUAAUGAGGAUAUACAGAACAUCAGAGCGGGCACCUUGCCAAGUGGGAAGAGGCUCAGUGCUCCUGUCCUUCGUCCUUUAAUGUAGGAGUCUGGCAUUCCUCGGGGAGUGAGGAAGAUGAAAAAGCAUGUACAAUAAAAUCACCAUAGCGCUCCGCCGAGGAUCAGCCCUCUUUCUCGUAUCUGCCAGAUGCCAGGACGCAAUUUUUCUCCAGAGUAAGACUGCACACGAGUAAGACAAGACAUCCGUUUGCAUCUUUUUAACUGUGGGAAUUCUUCAUCCUGCCAUUUAUUGUGUGGCAUACUUCCUCUGCCAACUCCAGCUCCCCCACCGCUCCUCCUCCUCUUUGCCCACCAUCACCACCUCCUUCCUCCCUCAUUGAAAUUCUGCCUGGCACACAGACACUGCCCAUUCUUGGCACAAAGCUCAGAGAGAGAGAGAGAGAGAGAGAGAGAAACACACAAGAACCUGUACCAAUCGUCUGGUGCCCCCUCCGUUGUGUCUGCCAAGCAUUCAUCCCAUCUCGCGGACCAACGGACCAGGCAACCCAAUAGGUAUUUCCCUGCCUCUUGCUUCCUGUUAAAAUCUACUCCAAUUCUGAGUAGUUUUAUUGGCAACUGAGUCUGCUGUGUGUGUGUUUUGGCAUUCGCCAAUUAAUUUGUGUGUUUACGUCGUUUGUAUUGGGUGAGGAACGAAUCCGACGAAAACCUGCAUCCUUUGAACAGUUCCAGGGGAAGAAGCUACGGCCCAUUGCUUCCUCAAUACGUCUUCAUUUUGGCAUUGGGUUUUCAUUUGACUCGACAGUUGUGUUGGUUUUUCGUGUGUUGAUAGAACAGCAGGUUAGAAGUUUGUACAAUAGUGUAUAAUAAUAAUAAUAAUAAUAAUAAUAAUAUAAUAAUAAUAAUAAUAAUAAUAAUAAUAAUAAUAAUAAUGAUAAACACUGGUAUUCAGUUUAGCAACCAUUUUGUUCUUUAACUUCUCAUCACAAAAGAGCAGAAUAAAUAGAUAAUUUGAUCGUAACGUCUUUCUUUCACUUUAAUGCUUUCUUAAAAAGGCUUUCCUAUUUUAUAGUUGUGUCUGUAUUGUAACAUUUCUAAUGUCUGAAAUAGAGUCAGGUAUGGGCUUUAUAGAUGCUGUUGCUGUACAUCUGUUUGUUAUAGAAACAGAUUACAUUCCCAGGGCUAUAAUUGACAAAAGAAACAUGUGUAACAGUCGCCCAAAGAUAGAUCCUAAAGCCGGAAAUUGUCUCCAGAAAAACAUAUCCUGGUUGGUCACAGCAGAGCAGCUUUAUCAGAGAGCAGGAGAGGACACUGUCCGUGUUUCCUGGCUUACACAGAAUAUUGCUAAUAUGAAUUCACUACCAUUUAGCUGUAAUUCUGCUGUGACAGCUGCACAGAGAGACUGUCUAAUAGGCAGAUGAGAUUAACUCAACGGGCCACAUUUCUCCCUUUCCUUGUCUUUUUUUUCAAGAUCCUCUGAGCUGCCCCACUGGAUGAAGGCUCAUUUAUUAGCUGUCGACAGAGAAAAUGCUUUCGCCCCAGCCGAGCCAUAUGUGCCCCUUUUAUGUGCCACAGACAAAGUCCACGAUCACAGACAACAGCGCCCAAUAGAGCUCACAUGACUGACCGAGUUUGGCCUCUGUAUUUCCAAAACAGUCGGGAGUUGAGCAGGGAAUGGGAUGCCAAUUUUCGCAAUUAAUCCAGAAGCACAGAAUACCCCACAAGCAUUUAAUGUGGAAACCUUAUUGUUUUGUCAUUUGAGGCCAUGUUCAGAUGUCUUGUUAAACCUUCAUUAAUCUGACCAGUCUCCCCCCGCACUGUGUCAUAUCACUGUUCGCUUCGUCUUCCAAACACAGCUCCGGUCAGGGGACGUUUCUCGGCGACCGAACGGCGCUCGUAGAUCUGUCACUGACACGGUGGCAGAGUUGGGCAUCGUGCCAACCCCCCCCCCCUUCUGUCUGUCUGGUCUUCUGUAAUCAGACUAGCAGGGUCUACUGAAUGCUAACUAUGGGCUGGCCUGGACCAAGUCUCAGGGGUUGUGGCUGUAUGCUAAUUUAUGCAAGUAGUGUACCUCCUAACUCCUUCUCUGUCUAUCUGAGGCCCUGGUCUGGCAUUUUUAGUCUGGCACUCAUUAACCCUUCAGUAGCUGCCAUGUUUACCGGCUGGCCCAUCCCAACCUUUAUCCCAUAAGAGUUGAGCAGUUAGCUGGCUGAGGGCUGAGCCAAGUCUUUCAGCGUGAGAUUAAUGAAAGUUAAUAAAAUACUUGUCGAGUGCCAACGUUCGAAGGGAAGCUCGAAACUGUUAAUGGUGCCCGUAAACAUGCGGCAUGCGAAGAAGCUUUUUCUCGGUGAACUUCCCAGCUGUCUGAUAAGUAUUACAUUGAGUUGCUCUCUUACUUUGUGCCCGCCGACUGUGAGCACGUCGUUUGGUCUCUUUGGCUUCGACUCUGCGCUCGGCACAUGAUUGAUUCUCCCGUCACUGUCGAUGGAACAGCCUCUCUUUCUAACAUCGUGUGAUAGCAGGCUCGGAGAAAACCCCGAAAGGUGGACCUUAUAGUGUUUUUUAAAGCAGACCUAAAAUGGCCGAUGCACGAGACGCCAUUUUGUGUUUCCUUGUUGUGUUUUGGGGGGCAGAAUCUCAGCCUUGUAUUCAAUCAGAGGCAGCUGGUGGAAGCCAUAUUUGCAGGCAUCUGUGUGUGUACCUCCGUCUGAGCAGCAGCAGCCAGCCUACACAGGGAUAGCCCACUGGAAUGAGCUCAGUUUUUGGCCAAAAACGGAAACGAAUUCCUGGCACAGAGUCGAGCAGUCUUUCUUUUUUUUUUUUUUUUCCUCUCUUUCAAUCACAUGCCAGUGUCUCAGGAAGCCAGUGAGUUGUUUGUUGGGCUUUCACACAUUAGUGCUCUCACUUUCCGAUGUCUGCUUACCGUUAAAUGAUUUGUCUUUUGAUUUAUUUGAAUGGAAACGUAUUCCUGAAAGACAUUCAGCUCCGCAUCACCAAAAACAAAACAAAGAAAAGGGAAGCAAGGGGUUGAUCGGAGAGGAUGUGUCGAAAUGUGAAAUCAUCUUUUGUUAAGAAGUGAUGGACAUUUCUCCAAAUCUUGUCCGUCGAAGAAUUGUUGUCGUGAAGCCGUAAGUUGUGAUUUUGAAUCAAUUCCAGGAACGAAAACAAACACUGAAGAUACGAUUACACUCCUUUGUGCUCGGACUGAAUUUGAACACAGCCGUCUAAAAUGUAACGAGAGUUACCUUUGUGGAAUCUUUGAUGCGGAAGCAACGUGCAUGCUGUCCUUGGGGCUGAGGUAGUAGAUUGAAUAGUUGUGGGGUUGUGUGACCUCUUUUUGAGAUAACUAUACAAUCUACUGUCUUUCCCAAGGAGACAGCUGAGUCAGCCAUUCGCCGACUGUCAUCUCCAGAUGGACAAUCCUGCCGUCCAAUCAGAACGUACCCUUGCGGUAGUCAACAUAAUGUGUCAAGCAUUGUUUUUUCUUUAGUAAAACAAGUGAAUUAGGUUUCCUGCUCCUGAAUACGUGAACUCAUGGUGUGUUUGAUUUGGGCUCUGUCAUGGUGAGGUAGUAGGUUGUAUAGUUUGGUGGGUGGGAUUGCACCCUGCUCAGGUGAUAACUAUACAUUCUAUUGCCUUCCCUGAGGAGCUCUCUGACCAUGAACGCUCAACACACUCUCAAGAUAGCACUACAUUUAUUCGUAUAGAAAAAGAGCAGGGAAAUAGUGCAGCAGAAGGUUAGUGAUGAAUGGAUUGAAGCUGUCAAUGGACAACAUUUGAUGUACUUCUGAAUAAAGUCACUUGCCUCAAAUCAGUCGUCAAAAAAUCUGUAAAUGAGAACUUGAAAUUGUUUGCUUGUACUUUACUGCAACUCUGAUGCUUUCAUGGUUUGUGUACAGCAGCAGCUCGUGAGUGUGUUAGUCUACAGCACCCUCUAGUGGAAACUGAGCAGAUAGCUUUGGCGACCGCAUGCCAUGGCGAAGUAAGAGAAUGCAGUUUCAUUUAAACCAAACAAGACACACACAUUCAAACACUCACUGGCUGCCUGUAUGUCUUCAGUUGGUUAUGUGUAAUAAAGCAUUUAAAUGAUUGUU